GGAAUCUUCCACAAUGGACGCAAGUCUGAUGGAGCAACGCCGCGUGAGUGAAGAAGGUUUUCGGAUCGUAAAGCUCUGUUGUUGGUGAAGAAGGAUAGAGGCAGUAACUGGUCUUUAUCUGACGGUAAUCAACCAGAAAGUCACGGCUAACUACGUGCCAG
rnacentral:rRNA from 1 species